rnacentral:rRNA from 1 species
UACAGAGGGGCAAGCGUUGUUCGGAAUUACUGGCGUAAAGGGCGCGUAGGCGGCCCUCUAAGUCAGACGUGAAAUCCCUCGGCUCAACCGGGGAACUGCGUCUGAGACUGGAAGGCUUGAAUUCGGGAGAGGGAUGUGGAAUUCCAGGUGUAGCGGUGAAAUGCGUAGAUAUACUGGAGGAACACCGGUGGCGAAGGCGGCAUCCUGGACCGAGAUUGAC